GCCUACGGGGGGCAGCAGUAGGGAACCUUCCACAAUGGGCGAAAGCCUGAUGGAGCAACGCCGCGUGGGUGAAGAAGGUCUUCGGAUCGUAAAACCCUGUUGUUAGAGAAGAAAGUGCGUGAGAGUAACUGUUCACGUUUCGACGGUAUCUAACCAGAAAGCCACGGCUAACUACGUGCCAGCAGCCGCGGUAAUACGUAGGUGGCAAGCGUUAUCCGGAUUUAUUGGGCGUAAAGGGAACGCAGGCGGCCUUUUAAGUCUGAUGUGAAAGCCUUCGGCUUAACCGGAGUAGUGCAUUGGAAACU
rnacentral:rRNA from 1 species